GACGAACGCUGGCGGCGUGCUUAACACAUGCAAGUCGAACGGAAAGGCCCUGCUUUUGUGGGGUGCUCGAGUGGCGAACGGGUGAGUAACACGUGAGUAACCUGCCCUUGACUUUGGGAUAACUUCAGGAAACUGGGGCUAAUACCGGAUAGGAGCUCCUGCUGCAUGGUGGGGGUUGGAAAGUUUCCGCGGUUGGGGAUGGACUCGCGGCUUAUCAGCUUGUUGGUGGGGUAGUGGCUUACCAAGGCUUUGACGGGUAGCCGGCCUGAGAGGGUGACCGGCCACAAUGGGACUGAGAUACGGCCCAGACUCCUACGGGAGGCAGCAGUGGGGAAUAUUGCACAAUGGGCGGAAGCCUGAUGCAGCAACGCCGCGUGCGGGAUGACGGCCUUCGGGUUGUAAACCGCUUUCGCCUGUGACGAAGCGUGAGUGACGGUAAUGGGUAAAGAAGCACCGGCUAACUACGUG
rnacentral:rRNA from 1 species